rnacentral:rRNA from 1 species
UAACCUACCCAUCAGAGGGGGAUAACACUUGGAAACAGGUGCUAAUACCGCAUAACAGUUUAUGCCGCAUGGCAUAAGAGUGAAAGGCGCUUUUGCGUCACUGAUGGAUGGACCCGCGGUGCAUUAGCUAGUUGGUGAGGUAACGGCUCACCAAGGCAACGAUGCAUAGCCGACCUGAGAGGGUGAUCGGCCACACUGGGACUGAGACACGGCCCAG